GGGUUAAGUCCCGCAACGAGCGCAACCCCCGCCGUUAGUUGCCAGCGGUUCGGCCGGCACUCUAACGGGACUGCCCGCGAAAGCGGGAGGAAGGAGGGGGACGACGGUCUGGUCAGCAUGGCCCUUACGGCCUGGGCGACACACGUGCUACAAUGCCCACUACAAAGCGAUGCCACCCGGCAACGGGGAGCUAAUCGCAAAAAGGUGGGCCCAGUUCGGAUUGGGGUCUGCAACCCGACCCCAUGAAGCCGGAAUCGCUAGUAAUCGCGGAUCAGCCAUGCCGCGGUGAAUACGUUCCCGGGCCUU
rnacentral:rRNA from 1 species